rnacentral:rRNA from 1 species
UACGAAGGGGGCUAGCGUUGCUCGGAAUCACUGGGCGUAAAGGGCGCGUAGGCGGCGUGACAAGUCACUUGUGAAAUCUCCGGGCUUAACCCGGAGCGGCCAAGUGAUACUGUCGUGCUAGAGUGCGGAAGGGGCUACUGGAAUUCUCGGUGUAGCGGUGAAAUGCGUAGAUAUCAGGAGGAACACCAAUGGCGAAGGCAGAUCUCUGGGCCGUAACUGACGCUGAGGAGCGAAAGCAUGGGGAGCGAACAGG